GAUGAACGCUGGCGGCGUGCCUAAUACAUGCAAGUCGAGCGAACGGACGAGAAGCUUGCUUCUCUGAUGUUAGCGGCGGACGGGUGAGUAACACGUGGAUAACCUACCUAUAAGACUGGGAUAACUUCGGGAAACCGUAGCUAAUACCGGAUAAUAUUUUGAACCGCAUGGUUCAAAAGUGAAAGACGGUCUUGCUGUCACUUAUAGAUGGAUCCGCGCUGCAUUAGCUAGUUGGUAAGGUAACGGCUUACCAAGGCAACGAUGCAUAGCCGACCUGAGAGGGUGAUCGGCCACACUGGAACUGAGACACGGUCCAGACUCCUACGGGAGGCAGCAGUAGGGAAUCUUCCGCAAUAGGCGAAAGCCUGACGGAGCAACGCCGCGUGAGUGAUAGAGGUCUUCGGAUCGUAAAACUCUGUUAUUAGGGAAGAACAUAUGUGUAAGUAACUGUGCACAUCUUGACGGUACCUAAUCAGAAAGCCACGGCUAACUACGUG
rnacentral:rRNA from 1 species